rnacentral:rRNA from 1 species
UACGUAGGGUGCAAGCGUUGUCCGGAAUUAUUGGGCGUAAAGAGCUCGUAGGCGGUUUGUCGCGUCGGCUGUGAAAUCCCCGGGCUCAACCUGGGAAUGGCCGUUGAAACUGGCGAACUGGAGUGUGGCAGAGGGGGGUGGAAUUCCGCGUGUAGCAGUGAAAUGCGUAGAGAUGCGGAGGAACACCGAUGGCGAAGGCAGCCCCCUGGGCUGACACUGACGCUCAGGCACGAAAGCGUGGGGAGCAAACAGG